rnacentral:lncRNA from 1 species
AACCUUUAAAGUACUUAUUUAUUUAUAAGCAUUUACAUGCAUAUGCUAGUGAUUGAUUUAUAUGCCUACGCUAUCCAAAUUGAGCUAAGAACCCUAAAUUCUUAUUUGUUUGGCCUGACAACUCUAGACCCACACCAUGCUGCAUCUGUGGGACAAUCCCAACAAAUGACACCAACUGUGGUGUCCAAGACUGUGGGAUAAACUUGGAUCUUCUGGAACUAAGCUGAGACAGUCAGGGCAGACUACUGGUUGACCAGAGCUGUAGUCAAGCCGGCUCCGGACAGGAGGCUUCAAAAAUAACCCCGGGGCCUUUGAACUCCUAGCUCUGGCCUCUGUGUCUGAGGCUUAAGCAUGUAAGAACGGGUUGGGUUCAUUCUGAUGGGGGGAAAGAAGCCAUUUGGAUGGUGUGGGUAUGUGUAGAAAUGCAGAGCCUUCCUUUUCGCCCUUGAAUCUGAACUCUCUUCUUCAAAGAGAGAGUUUGUGACCAGCUGUUUAUAAAGUGCUGGUCAGAGACCACCCACACCAGGAGAGCUGGGCCUUCUGAACCCUUUCUGCCCAAGGGCCCCUUGAAGGAGGAAGUCUGUUUCUAUCCCUUAGACUGGUCCUCUGAGGGCUUGAACUCACUCAGGGGCUCCACUGGCUCCUCCUGGGCCUCAGCGGGAGGUUUCUCCGAGGCGGUGGCCGGCGCCACCACUGCCGCCACCGCCGGAGCCUCGGGCUUCACCUGGAGGGUGCUGGGCGGUUCCCCGGCAUCGCUGCGCAUCUUGACACAGCGCAAGUCUAUGGGUUCAUCCAGGUCUGAGUCCAAAAGGAUGACCUCGGGCUGUGGCAGAGAGGCCGCGGUGGGGGAUACGUUGGCAGGGUGCUCGGAGACGGGGCUGCCCCCCAGGCAGGUCGGCGUGCUAAUGCUGCGGGCGGUCAACCGCUUCUUACAGGGCUCACGCUCGCCAUGGGUCUCGGAGAGGCAGCGCUUGCGCGCAUGGGAGAGGUUCAGGCCCACCGUAUGGUGGUGGUGGUGAUGGUGGUGGUGAUGGUGGUGGUGGGCGGGCGGGUGUGAGCUCCUGGCUGGGUCCCAGGCCAGCAGGUCUGGCUUGGUGGUGAGCUGUAGGGGUUGCUCACCAAAGGCCUCCUUGGUCGGGGAGAGCUUUCUAGACCCUAGGUCCUGGGGCUGAGCGUCCCCCGACACCAGAGCCUCCUCCUCCCUGCGUUUGCAGGGCACUUCGGCUUUCUUCUCCUCAGAAGCACCGGCUGCCUUUUUAAAAGUCCUGUCGCUCUGGGGAUGGCGCUCCUCGGCAGCACGUUUCUUAUGGCUGGGGGAGCGCGCCUCGCCCUCGCCGGCCUCGCCCGACUUGAUUUUCACUGCUUGCAUGCCGUUCUCCAUGUACUUGCUCAUAACGAUCACGAUGCGCCCGUUCUUGUUCUUGUUCUUGACAAUUUUCAUCUUGCCCCCAAUACCGUUACCGGUCACUGCCUCCUUAGGGGCUGGUGUCAUACCAUUGGGGGGGC